AUGGACGACUGACAAGUGUAUAUAAGCUCACUUUUCGUCGGAGAGUCAGUCAGUAAGACAUCUACAGGCCGAUAUAUUUGAUAGUUGCUGCUCAUUCUCUAACGGCUAAAAUGAAGACGUGUGUUCUCAUCGUGCUUUUGGUUGUUGCGGCUGUUGUCAUUGAAGAGACCACCGCCAGACUCGACGCCACGUGCACCUGUUGCGGCAAAACCUGUUCCGGGUCAAGCUGUAGUUGUGAUGACAACUGCAAUUGCAGCGCUUCUGAUGUCAAAGUAAAAACCGCAUCAAGCUCUGCAGGAGUACAGUAAAGACAUGAUACAAAACUAUUGCUGUUGCGGUUGCCCGUAGAGCCAUUCUUUAUUGGAGAAAUAUGAAAAAUCACUGGACCAUCUCUCCUGCAAAUUUCCAACAGCGAACUGAAAUAUUGUUUCUAUACUUUCAACUGUAAUACAUGAUAUAUGAUUAGAAAAAAUACGGUAACUUGAGUACUGAAUAUUUCAACAGAAAUAGACUUUUGGGCAAUACGCAUUCAUUUUCGAGAAAUAAAGAGAGAUCCCAAUAAAAAAAG